AAGGAGCACGAGCCACACAGACAAGAACGCAAGUUCUUGCACAAUGGCUGCUCGUUAGUUCGUGGAGCACUGACUAUUCAGUCCGACGAAUUCGUCGCACAACAAGUACUUCUCCUUGCGGAGAGUGGAACGGGGUGCCGAGGGGUUCAUCUGGCUGAGCACGCUGUUGGGUCCUGAGGAAACGGGUGACCGGAUCUUCUGAGUGUUGCGGGCCCAGGCCGAAGAACCUCAUCGUUCUGAAAGCUUGGGUUGCCGUCUGUUUUUUGAGAACUGCACAGUGGACGCGAGCAUCUUAAGCAAUUUUAAGAAGCGAGCCUGAUAAUCUGGACGACUUGUCGUCUCGAGUUCAGGUUCAUCUUAUUGUCUUAGUUGGGACCGCAUGUGU
rnacentral:misc_RNA from 1 species